rnacentral:rRNA from 1 species
AUGAAUGAUGUUGGCUUGGAGCCCCCUGUUGUUGAUGAGACCAGUCAUAAUGUUGAGGCUGUUGUUGACCGUGGAAUUAAUAAUCCAUCUACUGAUAAGUGCAAGGGUCCUGUUGUUGGCGACGAGCCUUGUUCGACCAUUGGUGAUGUUCCUUUGAAUGUUAGUAGCAGCAAGAUCGAAGAUGUUGCUGUGAAUGCUGCUAAGAUUACUGAUGUUGAGCGUGAGACUGCCGUUAGUGGUGGAGAUGAUGCUUGUGGUGUUCCAUUGAGUAGUGGGCGCGAUGUUGGUAUCAAAGUUGGUGAUGAGGUUGUUGGUGCUACCAGCAUACUUGAUGCCAAAUCAUCUGGUGUUGGUAUUGCCGGGAAUGAAAAUCUUUCUGAUUGUGAAGAUUUGCCGCCGGAAAAUUUCCCGCCUGGAGGGCUUGAUUACGGUGAUGCAUUGCAAGAUACCUCUAGCGUGGAGGAGGAACUCCCAUCGUCAAAAACUGAUAGUACAGAAGGUGCUAAUGUUGUUAAGGUUGAUUUGUUUUUCUUCGCUGUUAUGAGGUUGCGUACGAACCUGCGAAAUGUGGCAAGCCAAUGUUUCUAA